GUGGAGAGAGGUUCAGCAUGACAGAGUGUGCGCAUGUAUUGGCUGAGGAACACGCACUUUGUUGUAUGUUAGUGAUUGCUCAAUUUGUUUACACGGUAACUCAUUUCUGCUACUGCUCUUUGUUCUUCAGAGAAGAUAGACAACCCAGCAGAGCAGAUCUUUGUUCCUUAUGAGCUCAUCUGCUCCUGCAGCUUGUGCCACACCUGUAAUUAUAAUUAUGGCCCACUGCUUGGGUUGCUGUAAUCCUUUCUAGUGAAACCAAUUGUGAUUUCACCAACAGAGUUACUUAGCAAAGUGAGAAUGCCUGAAUUGAUAGAAUAAGCAUCAUUAGUCCCUUUUAUUGGUUAAUUUGGCUGCACUUAGCCUUCUAUUAAGAUUCAGAUGAUUAACAUUUUUCGGUAAUAUGGAAGCAUCCGUGCACUUUCGAUGGAACUGUGAAGUUAAUAGACUGUAACUGGGCCACUCUGGACAAGCGUAAUAAGCUGAUACCAAGAGAUAAAAGAAGUGGUGCAGCUGCACCUCAGCUAUUACGUUAAUGAAGGAGAGAGAAUCCAUGUGGAAUCGCUGGAAGGAAACUGCUAAGAGAUGGUGUGGGUAAAUCAUCACAUGCUGACUAUUUUGGCCACAUCUUUCUUAUGAGUGCCUCUCCUCUUCCUUCCUGCCCACUCCUUCCCACCUCUUCUUCAUCUGGAUCACUGUUCUCAUCCUUCCAGGACUCAUAUUUGUUCUCACUCAUCUCCUCCAGGAAGCUUUACCU
rnacentral:lncRNA from 1 species